rnacentral:rRNA from 1 species
UACGUAGGGGGCAAGCGUUAUCCGGAUUCACUGGGUGUAAAGGGAGCGUAGACGGCGACGCAAGUCUGGAGUGAAAGCCCGGGGCCCAACCCCGGGACUGCUCUGGAAACUGCGGCGCUGGAGUACGGGAGGGGCAGGCGGAAUUCCUGGUGUAGCGGUGAAAUGCGUAGAUAUCAGGAGGAACACCGGCGGCGGAGGCGGCCUGCUGGACCGUGACUGACGUUGAGGCUCGAGAGCGUGGGGAGCAAACAGG